GAAGAUUUGAACUCAGGUUUUUGUGAUGUUACAUCCAGCACUUCAGCCUCUAUGAUAUGCCACUGCUAUAUAAACAUAGUAAUACCUUUCAAAUGGUAAGAAUAAUGAUUCUAGCAUUAUUCACCUAGUAGGUUUCUGCAUUCUGUUUCUCUUUAUGCAAAUGCCUUGGAGUUUACUGCCCUUGCCAAUGUGGCUUAAGACUAAGAAGUCCCCAUUGCUACCUCUUAGUCAGAGCCUGGUGCUAUGCAACCCUUAGUCAUUCGGUCAACAAAGUUUUGAUUAAGCAGCAGCUAGUGUGCUAAGCACUAGAAAUCCAAAGGAAGGGGCUAGCUUGUUGCCCUUGGGGAGCUCAUGUUUUAAUGCCUGUGUAUUGAGCAAAUAUAUUGAGAAGAUGGUAGGUCAUUUCAGAGCCUAAGGCACGAGUAAGCAGCAGAGGGACGGAAAGGUCUUCUGCAAAACAUGGAAUUUGAGCUAAGACUCUAAGGAAGUCAGGAAGAGAACCCUUAACUAGGCAAGGGGGGAAGUAUGGGGUGAUGGUCUGGAAAAUAAACAAGGGAUAGAGGGAAAGAAGGACACAGUGAGAAUGAAGAACAGGGUUGUGGGUUGGAAGGCAGGGGCAAAGUUAGACCUCUAUCAGCUCCAUCCCUGCAUAGAUUAAAGUUGUUUCUUUCUGUUCUGUGGUCACAGACUGUGCUCUUAACUCCAUCCUAUGAGCUCCCAGGGGAGAGAAGGCAAAAGAGCAUGGCUGCAGGAAUCAGUACAUAUUGUUUCCCCAGCUAGAAAAACAACUCAACAUCCAUCCUACUCAAUCGGCUCAUUGGCUCAAUGGCUCAGUCUGGAGAGUCAUCUUUAUCAGAGAGCACAUGGAAAUAUAGUUCUCUAGUAUUUUGAACUCACUGCAAUCCGGGAUGGUGAGAGAUUGAGCGACAGUGUGGUCUAAGGAGAGACCUACUUUCAGAUCCUACUUCAUCUACUAUGGUGAUCAUGGGUAAGUCACUUUGAGACUCAGUUUCCUCAAGUGUAACAUGAGAAUGAUACUAUCAGUAGUCCCAAUCUCACAAGGUAGUUGAAAGGUUCUAUUGUGACAAUUUUGGUAAAUUUUUCUGCUAACCUUAAAGUGCUAUGUAAAUAUUAUCUAUUGUUAUUGUUUUUAUUAUGGGAUUGAAAACCAUGGUCAUGUAAGAUCCAGAUGAAGGAAGUGGAGGUAUUUAGCCUGGAAGAAGACUUUGGGGUCGUGAUAAUUGUCUUCAAAGAUUUGUAUUCAAAUCUUUUUUCAACACACAAGGCACUUCAUCUCUCAGCUCUGAU
rnacentral:lncRNA from 1 species